CAAGGUUUGGUAACAGGAGUUGCUCUCCAGGUUCGCCUUCGUGCACUCUAAGGUCGCCACACCUGCAGAGCAUCACUCUGCCUUCCCAAGUACUGACCAGGCUGAACAUCGCUGCAGGUGUUUUCACUCCUGGGAUUCGCGAAUCUCUGCACCUUAGGACCUGCUGGUGGAAAACGCGAAGUUGCGCCGGGUGGGGAAAGCGUGAGCUUCCUUUGCUCCCGCGUUGGAAGCGACGCUCCGCCAAGGUCUCCAUCCAAGUAGCUCUUGGAACCAGGGGGUCUUGACUGGCUCUGAGAGUCCGCUUCAAGUUUAAAGGCGAUAGAAUUUGCCUGGAAGACAGUACUUAAACGCUGAACUUGGAUUUGCCAAGGCUCGAAAGUGGAACAAAAGGAUGAUUCGGUGCAAAGAUGAAACUUGUGUAGAUAGGAGCUCUAGCAGUGCUACUCACAGCUCAGAAAUCGAUACAGAGCUUUCAAAGAUGAGCAUCGCCGCGCCCGGUAUCUGCGGACCAAUAGCUUCUGGGCGCCCAUCUGUAUUUCUGGGAUGAACCGGCUUUGAAUUCGGUUUGAGUCCACGCUGUAGUAAGCCAAGAGGAACGGUCGAUUUUAGGGAGUAAUGGAUGGAUGAAGGCUGCCGGUUGGAGCCAGAGGACCGCGACACCGUCCUGCUAAAUAGCACUUGUGCGCAGAGAUACUCAAGAGUCCCGCGCCUAGGGAGUCAGAGUGCACGGGUUUGACGCCCUGGCUUACCUUCUUCUGAUGCAGUUAAAGCAGAGUUUGAAGCUAAGCGGAGCCUGCUUGGAGGAGAUCUGAAUAAUGAAUUUGGUGGUGAGAUGCUAAAGGAUAAAGAGGCAUUUCAUUUCUGUGUUACUAGUUUGCAGUUAAACCCACUUCGUUGGUUGGAUGUGUCUUGGAGACUGACUUUGUACAGUUUCGGGUAGAGAAUGUUCCCAUUCUUCUGGUAUAAAUCUAUACAUUCUCUGCUUGCCACAAAGUUAAAUGCUUCUUCGAGUUGUGAUUCUUAUUCCUAAUUAAUAAAGUGGCAAUAAGAAUUAUAAUGAACUAUUUCCAACCAAAGUUCUCAUCUAACGUAAUUUCUGAUGGCAUAAGCCUCUAGAUUAAUAACAAAAUAUUGUGGCAGACUAUUAGGCAAGGACUAUAGAACUGUAAUCAAGAGACUCACUGAGGGAAAGAAAAGUCAGAAAUCAGAGCUGACUCCUGUCCAAAAAGAUUUGGGCUUGAAAUUCCUUUUCUGGUUACUGUGGACCCACAAGCAGUUCUCUGCUACUAAUGGCUCUCUUUAAAAUAAGCCUAGGUCAUUUAUACAUUAAAACCUGGAAGGUGUCUUGCAGGUCUGCGAAAAUGUUGUGUAAAGUCUUGUGCCAGCCACAGAGGAUUCUUUUUCAUUUAUCUUGAAUAUUUUACUUACAAGGCAUGUAGGUUAACAGUGGUAAUCAGUGGUAUAAUAUUCUUGACAUUUUAUCCCUUCAACAAAGUUAAAAAAAAAAAAAAAGCCUAUGGAUUUAUGGACCCUCUUCAAAAAGCAUUCACUUCUCACUCCUCUUGGGGACAAAAUGCAGUUUCUUCAAUGAUUUUUGAUUGUUGCAAAACAAAACUUAGAUUUGUUAUUUAUUGUACAGUGUUUUCCCUCCCACUUCACGCUUUGCUUCUUUAGGGAAAACAAGAGGGGUAAAUCUCAAGGUCCAAGGAUUCAUUCCAUUCCUAUAUCCUCCUAUCUGUUUGCAUUAUCUAGAAGGAAUUAUUGAGAUUCAAAAGUACUGUCAGAUCCAAAAGACUUCUAAAUUCACCCGUCUCUGUGUUAAAAUUACAACUGCAUUGUUUUAAUGUUGUUUAUUUCUCUAAAUUCUUUGACAGGUGAAAAUUGAAGUUGAUAAGUAUGCUAUCUCUUCCAGUGCAGACUUUCUUGAAUCUUUUAUCUUUUCAAGAUGAUUGCUGUAUAAAAUGUAUUUUCUAGAACAUUUUUUUUUUCUUCCCUGGAGAUAGAUAGCAUUUUGUCUAGUGGUCUAUUGUGUUACUGAUUAAAGUUAUUCUUUGCUUA